CUAUAAUUAAAACUCCGAAUCGUCCGACCUACCGGGAUUAUCCCCAAGGCGCGCGAUCUAUGGGUUCGGUUGGAAACGGCCGGGCCUCCCUUUUGGAAAGGAGCCCUCGGUUGACCGGC
rnacentral:ncRNA from 2 species